GAGUUUGAUUAUGGCUCAGAACGAACGCUGGCGGCGCGUCUUAAGCAUGCAAGUCGAACGGUAAGGGAGAGCUUGCUCUCCCCGAGAGUGGCGGACUGGUGAGUAACGCGUGGGUGACCUGCCCUGAAGAUGGGGAUAGCUAGUAGAAAUAUUAGAUAAUACCGAAUGUGCUCAUUUACAUAAAGGUAAAUGAGGAAAGGAGCUACGGCUCCGCUUCAGGAUGGGCCCGCGUCCCAUUAGCUAGUUGGUGAGGUAAAGGCCCACCAAGGCAACGAUGGGUAUCCGGCCUGAGAGGGUGAACGGACACAUUGGGACUGAGAUACGGCCCAAACUCCUACGGGAGGCAGCAGCUAAGAAUCUUCCGCAAUGGACGAAAGUCUGACGGAGCGACGCCGUGUGAAUGAAGAAGGCCGAAAGGUUGUAAAAUUCUUUUGCAGAUGAAGAAUAACCACAGGAGGGAAUGCCUGU
rnacentral:rRNA from 1 species